rnacentral:rRNA from 1 species
GAUAAACGCUGGCGGCGUGCCUAAUACAUGCAAGUCGAGCGAACGGACGAGAAGCUUGCUUCUCUGAUGUUAGCGGCGGACGGGUGAGUAACACGUGGAUAACCUACCUAUAAGACUGGGAUAACUUCGGGAAACCGGAGCUAAUACCGGAUAAUAUUUUGAACCGCAUGGUUCAAAAGUGAAAGACGGUCUUGCUGUCACUUAUAGAUGGAUCCGCGCUGCAUUAGCUAGUUGGUAAGGUAACGGCUUACCAAGGCAACGAUGCAUAGCCGACCUGAGAGGGCGAUCGGCCACACUGGAACUGAGACACGGUCCAGACUCCUACGGGAGGCAGCAGUAGGGAAUCUUCCGCAAUGGGCGAAAGCCUGACGGAGCAACGCCGCGUGAGUGAUGAAGGUCUUCGGAUCGUAAAACUCUGUUAUUAGGGAAGAACAUAUGUGUAAGUAACUGUGCACAUCUUGACGGUACCUAAUCAGAAAGCCACGGCUAACUACGUGCCAGCAGCCGCGGUAAUACGUAGGUGGCAAGCGUUAUCCGGAAUUAUUGGGCGUAAAGCGCGCGUAGGCGGUUUUUUAAGUCUGAUGUGAAAGCCCACGGCUCAACCGUGGAGGGUCAUUGGAAACUGGAAAACUUGAGUGCAGAAGAGGAAAGUGGAAUUCCAUGUGUAGCGGUGAAAUGCGCAGAGAUAUGGAGGAACACCAGUGGCGAAGGCGACUUUCUGGUCUGUAACUGACGCUGAUGUGCGAAAGCGUGGGGAUCAAACAGGAUUAGAUACCCUGGUAGUCCACGCCGUAAACGAUGAGUGCUAAGUGUUAGGGGGUUUCCGCCCCUUAGUGCUGCAGCUAACGCAUUAAGCACUCCGCCUGGGGAGUACGACCGCAAGGUUGAAACUCAAAGGAAUUGACGGGGACCCGCACAAGCGGUGGAGCAUGUGGUUUAAUUCGAAGCAACGCGAAGAACCUUACCAAAUCUUGACAUCCUUUGACAACUCUAGAGAUAGAGCCUUCCCCUUCGGGGGACAAAGUGACAGGUGGUGCAUGGUUGUCGUCAGCUCGUGUCGUGAGAUGUUGGGUUAAGUCCCGCAACGAGCGCAACCCUUAAGCUUAGUUGCCAUCAUUAAGUUGGGCACUCUAAGUUGACUGCCGGUGACAAACCGGAGGAAGGUGGGGGUGACGUCAAAUCAUCAUGCCCCUUAUGAUUUGGGCUACACACGUGCUACAAUGGACAAUACAAAGGGCAGCGAAACCGCGAGGUCAAGCAAAUCCCAUAAAGUUGUUCUCAGUUCGGAUUGUAGUCUGCAACUCGACUACAUGAAGCUGGAAUCGCUAGUAAUCGUAGAUCAGCAUGCUACGGUGAAUACGUUCCCGGGUCU